CCCUUAGAUGUUCUGGGCCGCACGCGUGCUACACUGAUGCAUUCAACGAGUCUAAAACCUGGUCUGAUAGGGCUGGGUAAUCUUUUGAAAGUGCAUCGUGAUUGGGAUAGAUGAUUGCAAUUCUUCAUCUUCAACGAGGAAUGCCUAGUAAACGCAAGUCAUCAGCUUGCAUUGAUUACGACCCUGCCCUUUGUACACACCGCCCGUCGCUCCUACCGAUUGAAUGAUCCGAUGAAUACCAUGGAUUGAGAGUACGAAUAGGUUCGCUUAUUUCUGCUGCUCGAGAAGUGGAGUAAAUCUUAUCAUUUAGAGGAAGGAGAAGUCGUAACA
rnacentral:rRNA from 1 species